UAACAACCCAAGUACCGGGGUUAGCAGUGAACUUUGAUGACUGUCUGGUGGAUUGGAGGCCAGUGGUCUGAGUGGAUGAAGUCUGACCAACAAAAUAACUUAAAUGAUUUUGUGACUUUGAAAGAGCUGACCCACUGGGUCUAGGAAGAAUAUUCCAAUUCACUCUUAUUCCUACCCUCAACCAAUAAUAGCCUUGCCAUCAGGUUUAUGGGUUGGAAGACAACAAGCAAACUACACAACACCAAGGGAUAGGAAGUGUGGAUGCCCCACGGCGGUGAAAUGCAAGAAUAGUUUGAGAAGCAUAAUUAUCCAACGUGGCAGUUUGAUGAAGGGAUGGAAGUUGACAUUCCUAAGCUUGAGUAAAGUGUCCUGGAAUCUGAGUGGUUAUAAAUGGUCCACAUUUCAAGUUCCUGUCUCACCCCAAAGUGCUGGGAGCUCCCUCAUAACAAGGCCCACCUGGACACCUGCAACCUUGACCCACAGGGCAGAGAGCCACGUGCUGAGUCAUCAAUACCUCCCAAAGCUCUGAGCCAAGAACUACAGGGCAAUGCCAUCCUGUUUUCCCUUGCCAGCCUGACCAAAACAUCGUGCUGGGCAGAGUGGCUAGAAGGGAGUGUCACCUGCUGAUGUUUCAACAAACCCUUUUAACAUGAAUACAGCUUUAUUAAAAUGAGCAACAAGCUUUUACAUCCACUGAUUUGUAGAGAUAGAUUUAGAGGUCAUCUGGUUUAACUGCUGCAUUUUACAGAUGUGGAAAUAGACCUAGAGAGUUACACCUCUUGCUAAAGUCACCCAUCUGGCCAAACCAGGAAUAAACCCAGGUGACCUGUCCCCCAUACUCCCCCCCAGUACAGUGCUCUUUCCACUUCAUGACACCAACGCCCCCCCCCAUUAUUGCUGUUGUUCUGGGAGUGCAUUCUUUCAAAAUAAAAUAAUUACUUGACA
ensembl:lncRNA